AUCCCACUCUAUGAUCUGUAAUGU
rnacentral:siRNA from 1 species